CUUAGACUAUAGAAACUAUCUAUAAAAUAAUAAUUGUUAUGUAUUAGGAAGUAUUUUUAAAUAGAUAAGGAUAGUUAAUUGCUUAAAUAUAGUGAAAGUAUUAAGAUUAUUGAAUCAUAAAUAGGACCCCCAAAAUAUGUCAGUGGCAGAGUAAAAUGCAGAAAAACUAAGUAUAUCAGAAACUACUAUCUGUGGCAAAAUUCAAAACGGGGUUUUUAAUUGCAGCAUUAGUUUAAUUUAAUUAUAUUUCAGACUUGCGGCAUAAAAUUAGGACUCAAAAUAUACAAAUAUCUAUAUACCCAUUGUGAUUUUUUACAGAAUAGAAGUAAUCAUAAUCAUUUACUUGUGUUUCUUUUUAUUUCUAUAGGAAAAUGCAAAAAUUUCAUCUCCUGAAGAAAUCUGAAGAUUUUUUUGUUUUUUUUGAGAUUCUUUUAAAGGUGAAACUUUUCUUCUUUAGAUGCAGAGACAAAGUUUUGCCAUGCUGCCCAGCUGGUCUUGAACUCCUGGACUCAAGCAAUCCUCCUGACUUGGCUUGCCAUAGUGCUGGGACUACAGGGGAUUUGUAAUGGAGUACUCUGGGGAACAACAUCCGUAAGGGAGUGAAGGAAGCUGGAGGAAGCUGAAAGAGAAGUUGAGCUGCACUGCAGUAUAAUGGAAGCUUCAGGAAAUUCCACUGGGAGCUCUGAAGCUGGGAAGGCUUUUCAGAGAUGUUCAUAGUUGAGGUAGGUGGUCUAGGCUUUUGUACUCCUGCAUCACCCAGUCAUUAGAUGUAGGCUGCCACUGGGGAGGAACGAAGCAGCUCCCUUUAGCCUAGAACAAGUCCCAUAGGGGGACAUAGACUGUCAGCAGAUGUGGGCAUGAAGGGUCUUGACCCUGGAGACAAGACCUGGAUCGCCUUCCCUAGCACCCACCGUAUCAUGCUUUUUAAAUAGAACUCAAAGAUAAGCAAAAUGAAACAACAUGUUAUUAUCUCACAUAUAUUUGUGAUAUAAGUAUAUAUAUUUAAAAGUUGUAGAACGAUAUACAUAUUUAGGGCUGCGCUUACCUCUGGAGGAUGGGCUAGGAUGGGUUUUUGUCUUUUCUGGUUCUUGAGUUAGGUGGUGAGUUUAAAGCAUCAUUAUAUUAUGCUUUAUAUAACAAACAUGUAUUUCAUCUACUCUUUUGUAUGCAUCAAAUAUAUUUAACAAGAAAGCAAGGGAAUCUGGUACAGUAGCUCAUGCCUGUAAUCCCAGAACUUUGGGAGGUCAAGACAGGAGAUUACCUGAGCCUAGGAGUUGGUGUCCACCCUGGGCAACAUAGCAAGGCCUUGUGUCUACAAAAAACAUUAGCUGGGUGUGGUGCUGUGUGCAUGUAGUCCUAGCUACUUGGGAGGCUGAGGCAGGAGGAUUGCUUGAGUCCAGGAGUUGAAGGCUGCAUUGAGAUAUGAUCAUACCACUGGACUCCAGCCUGGGUAACAGAGCAAAACUCUGUCUUUAUACAAAUUUUUAAAAAAGAUAAUAAGGGGAAUAAAGGAAAGAACUAGGUAAGAGUAAUAGAAAGU
rnacentral:lncRNA from 13 species